CACGGAAUUAGCCGGUCCUUAUUCAUGCGGUACCUGCAAACAUCCACACGUGGACACCUUUAUCCCCGCAUAAAAGAGGUUUACAACCCAUAGGGCAGUCUUCCCUCACGCUACUUGGCUGGUUCAGCCUUACGGCCAUUGACCAAUAUUCCUCACUGCUGCCUCCCGUAGGAGUCUGGACCGUGUCUCAGUUCCAGUGUGGGGGACCUUCCUCUCAGAACCCCUACCGAUCGAUGCCUUGGUGGGCCGUUACCCCGCCAACAAGCUAAUCGGACGCAUCCCCAUCCUUUACCGAUAAAUCUUUGCUCCGACACAGAUGUCCGGGACGGAGAACAUGGGGGAUUAAUCCGCCUUUCGACGGGCUGGACCCCAGUAAAGGGAAGGUUGGAUACGCGUUACUCACCCGUGCGCCGGUCGCCAUCGGCCCAUCCCGAAAGAUAGGCCAUGCUGCCCCUCGACUUGCAUGUGUUAAGCCUGUAGCUAGCGUUCAUCCUGAGCCAGGAUCAAACUCU
rnacentral:rRNA from 1 species